rnacentral:miRNA from 1 species
GUUAAAUAACCCACCAUCCAAUC